CAGAGUCGGUACUGUGUGAAGGGGGUCUGAAAAGUCGGUGGGUUGUCGUGGAUCAGAGUCGGUACUGUGUGAAGGGGGUCUGAAAAGUCGGUGGGUUGUCGUGGAUCAGAGUCGGUACUGUGUGAAGGGGGUCUGAAAAGUCGGUGGGUUGUCGUGGAUCAGAGUCGGUACUGUGUGAAGGGGGUCUGAAAAGUCGGUGGGUUGUCGUGGAUCAGAGUCGGUACUGUGUGAAGGGGGUCUGAAAAGUCGGUGGGUUGUCGUGGAUUAGAGUCGGUACUGUGUGAAGGGGGUCUGAAAAGUCGCUGGGUUGUCGUGGAUCAGAGUCGGUACUGUGUGAAGGGGGUCUGAAAAGUCGUGGAG